rnacentral:rRNA from 1 species
AUACGUAGGGUGCGAGCGUUGUCCGGAAUUACUGGGCGUAAAGAGCUCGUAGGUGGUUUGUCGCGUCGUCUGUGAAAUUCCGGGGCUUAACUCCGGGCGUGCAGGCGAUACGGGCAUAACUUGAGUACUGUAGGGGAGACUGGAAUUCCUGGUGUAGCGGUGAAAUGCGCAGAUAUCAGGAGGAACUCCGGUGGCGAAGGCGGGUCUCUGGGCAGUAACUGACGCUGAGGAGCGAAAGCAUGGGUAGCGAACAGGAUUAGAUACCCUGGUAGUCCAUGCCGUAAACGGUGGGCGCUAGGUGUAGGGGUCUUCCACGACUUCUGUGCCGUAGCUAACGCAUUAAGCGCCCCGCCUGGGGAGUACGGCCGCAAGGCUAAAACUCAAAUGAAUUGACGGGG